AACGAACGCUGGCGGCAUGCCUAACACAUGCAAGUCGAACGAGACCUUCGGGUCUAGUGGCGCACGGGUGCGUAACGCGUGGGAACCUGCCCUUAGGUUCGGAAUAACUCCCCGAAAGGGGUGCUAAUACCGGAUAAUGUCUUCGGACCAAAGAUUUAUCGCCUUUGGAUGGGCCCGCGUUGUAUUAGCUAGUUGGUAGGGUAAAAGCCUACCAAGGCGACGAUCCAUAGCUGGUCUGAGAGGAUGAUCAGCCACACUGGGACUGAGACACGGCCCAGACUCCUACGGGAGGCAGGAGUGGGGAAAAUUGGAAAAGGGGCGAAAGCCGGAACCAGCCAUGCCGGGGGGGUGAUGAAGGGCUUGGGGUUGUAAAGCUCUUUUACCCGGGAUGAUAAUGACGGAACCGGGGAAAAAAGCCCCGGCAACUUCCGU
rnacentral:rRNA from 1 species